UACAGAGGGUGCGAGCGUGAAUCGGAAUUACUGGGCGUAAAGCGUGCGUAGACGGUUAUUUAAGUCGGGUGUGAAAGCCCCGGGCUCAACCUGGGAAUUGCAUUCGAGACUGAAUAGCUAGGGUACGGUAGAGGGAAGCGGAAUUUCCGGUGUAGCGGUGAAAUGCGUAGAUAUCUGGAGGAACACCGGUGGCGAAGGCGGCAUCCUGGACCAAUAUUGACGCUGAGGAGCGAAAGCCAGGGGAGCAAACGGG
rnacentral:rRNA from 1 species